AUCCUCAGAGGUACCGAAGGACUCAUUCAACAUUUGAAUGAUUUUUUCUGGCUAUGCAUCCUCAAACUUAUAGCUAAGUUCAUCAUUCAUAGCUGUCCUUAUCACACAAUGUACAGUUAUGCGGUCAUUAAGCUACUUCACGUAAGUAUCUCUCGCAGCAUGAGGAGUGUUGGUUGUGUUGGAAAAAGGUGCAGGGUUUCAUGCAUGAAUUUCAAAAUAUUUUUGAAAUAUAAUACAGUAAAAUAUGUAAAUUAAAUAAUUUAAUCUAUAAAUAUAUGUAA
rnacentral:lncRNA from 1 species